GACGAACGCUGGCGGCGUGCCUAAUACAUGCAAGUCGAACGAGAGCGACCGGUGCUUGCACUGGUCAAUCUAGUGGCGAACAGGUGAGUAACACGUGGGUAACCUGCCCAUCAGAGGGGGAUAACAUCCGGAAACGGAUGCUAAAACCGCAUAGGUCUUCGAGCCGCAUGGCUUGAAGAGGAAAAGAGGCGCAAGCUUCUGCUGAUGGAUGGACCCGCGGUGCAUUAGCUAGUUGGUGAGGUAACGGCUCACCAAGGCCGUGAUGCAUAGCCGACCUGAGAGGGUGAUCGGCCACAUUGGGACUGAGACACGGCCCAAACUCCUACGGGAGGCAGCAGUAGGGAAUCUUCCGCAAUGGACGCAAGUCUGACGGAGCAACGCCGCGUGAGUGAAGAAGGUUUUCGGAUCGUAAAACUCUGUUGUUAGAGAAGAACAAGUGCUAGAGUAACUGUUAGCGCCUUGACGGUAUCUAACCAGAAAGCCACGGCUAACUACGUG
rnacentral:rRNA from 1 species